GGGCACAUGGUGUAGUUGGUUAUCACGCCCGCUUAGCAUCUUCAUGGUGAUCUGCGGGCGGUCCCCGGUUCAAUUCCGGGUGUGUCCA
rnacentral:tRNA from 1 species